UGGGAAUAUUGGGCAAUGGGCGAAAGCCUGACCCAGCAACGCCGCGUGAGGGAGGAAGGUUUUCGGAUUGUAAACCUCUGUCCUCAAGGAAGAAGGAAGUGACGGUACUUGAGGAGGAAGCCCCGGCUAACUACGUGCCAGCAGCCGCGGUAAUACGUAGGGGGCGAGCGUUGUCCGGAAUGACUGGGCGUAAAGGGCGUGUAGGCGGCUAAUUAAGUCUGAUGUGAAAUACCCGUUUUCAAGAUGGGUCGUGCAUUGGAAACUGAAUAGCUUGAGUGCGGAAGAGGUAAGUGGAAUUCCCAGUGUAGCGGUGAAAUGCGUAGAGAUUGGGAGGAACACCAGUGGCGAAGGCGACUUACUGGGCCGCAACUGACGCUGAGGCGCGAAAGCGUGGGGAGCAAACAGGAUUAGAUACCCUGGUA
rnacentral:rRNA from 1 species